rnacentral:rRNA from 1 species
UACGUAGGGUGCGAGCGUUGUCCGGAAUUAUUGGGCGUAAAGGGCUCGUAGGCGGUUUGUCGCGUCGGGAGUGAAAACCUCGGGGCUUAACUCGGGGCUUGCUUUCGAUACGGGGCAGACUAGAGGUAUGCAGGGGAGAACGGAAUUCCUGGUGUAGCGGUGAAAUGCGCAGAUAUCAGGAGGAACACCGGUGGCGAAGGCGGUUCUCUGGGCAUGAUCUGACGCUGAGGAGCGAAAGUGUGGGGGAGCGAACAGGG